CCUACGGGUGGCAGCAGUGAGGAAUAUUGGUCAAUGGGCGCGAGCCUGAACCAGCCAAGUCGCGUGAGGGAAGACGGUCCUAUGGAUUGUAAACCUCUUUUGUCGGGGAGCAAAAGACGCCACGCGUGGCGUUCCGAGAGUACCCGAAGAAAAAGCAUCGGCUAACUCCGUGCCAGCAGCCGCGGUAAUACGGAGGGUGCAAGCGUUGUCCGGAAUCAUUGGGCGUAAAGAGUUCGUAGGCGGCAUGUAAAGUCAGGUGUUAAAGGCGCAGGCUCAACCUGUGUAUGGCACUUGAUACUUGCAAGCUGGAAUGCGGUAGAGGUAAAGGGAAUUCCUGGUGUAGCGGUGAAAUGCUUAGAUAUCAGGAGGAACAUCGGUGGCGUAAGCGCUUUACUGGGCCGUAAUUGACGCUGAGGAACGAAAGCCAGGGUAGCAAAUGGGAUUAGAUACCCGAGUAGUC
rnacentral:rRNA from 1 species